rnacentral:rRNA from 1 species
AGUGAACGCUGGCGGUAGGCCUAACACAUGCAAGUCGAACGGCAGCACAGUAAGAGCUUGCUCUUACGGGUGGCGAGUGGCGGACGGGUGAGGAAUACAUCGGAAUCUACUUUUUCGUGGGGGAUAACGUAGGGAAACUUACGCUAAUACCGCAUACGACCUACGGGUGAAAGCAGGGGAUCUUCGGACCUUGCGCGAUUGAAUGAGCCGAUGUCGGAUUAGCUAGUUGGCGGGGUAAAGGCCCACCAAGGCGACGAUCCGUAGCUGGUCUGAGAGGAUGAGCAGCCACACUGGAACUGAGACACGGUCCAGACUCCUACGGGAGGCAGCAGUGGGGAAGAUUGGACAAUGGGCGCAAGCCUGAUCCAGCCAUACCGCGUGGGUGAAGAAGGCCUUCGGGUUGUAAAGCCCUUUUGUUGGGAAAGAAAAGCAGCAGGUUAAUACCCCGCUGUUCUGACGGUACCCAAAGAAUAAGCACCGGCUAACUUCGU